GCGCAGGCGCGAAACCUUCGCAAUGCGCGAAAGCGCGACGGGGCUACUCUGAGUGCCAUCCGCUGAGGGUGGCUUUUCUCGGGUCUAAAAAGCCCGUGGAAUAAGGGGAGGGCAAGUCUGGUGUCAGCCGCCGCGGUAAUACCAGCUCCUCGAGUGGUUGGGGCGUUUAUUGGGCCUAAAGCAUCCGUAGCCGGCUCUAUAGGUUCUCCGUUAAAUUCAGCGGCUCAACCGUUGAGCUGCGGAGAAUACCGUGGGGCUAGGGAGCCGAAGAGGCGGACGGUACUCCGUGGGUAGGGGUAAAUCCGCUGAUCCACGGAAGACCACCAGUGGCGAAGGCGGGCCGCCAGGACGCGUCCGACAGUGAGGGAUGAAAGCUGGGGGAGCGAACCGGAUUAGAUACCCGUGUAGUCC
rnacentral:rRNA from 1 species